GAUGAACGCUAGCUACAGGCUUAACACAUGCAAGUCGCGGGGCAUCGCGGUGAGUAGCAAUACUUUCUGGCGGCGACCGGCGGAUGGGUGAGUAACGCGUAUCCAACCUGGCCCUAUCUCGGGGACAGCCCCUCGAAAGAGGGAUUAAUACCCGAUGUUCCCUGGUUUCCGCAUGUUUACCAGGGCAAAGGCAUAUGUCGGAUAGGGAUGGGGAUGCGUUCCAUUAGGCAGUCGGCGGGGUAACGGCCCACCGAGCCUACGAUGGAUAGGGGUUCUGAGAGGAAGGCCCCCCACACUGGGACUGAGACACGGCCCAGACUCC
rnacentral:rRNA from 1 species